rnacentral:rRNA from 1 species
UACGAAGGGGGCUAGCGUUGUUCGGAAUUACUGGGCGUAAAGCGCGCGCAGGCGGUCCUUUAAGUCAGGGGUGAAAGCCCAGAGCUCAACUCUGGAACUGCCUUUGAAACUGUUCGGCUCGAGUCCGGGAGAGGGUAGUGGAAUUCCCAGUGUAGCGGUGAAAUGCGUAGAUAUUGGGAGGAACACCGGUGGCGAAGGCGGCUACCUGGACCGGUACUGACGCUGAGGCGCGAAAGCUAGGGUGGCAAACAGG